AUGAAUCUGGAAGCUGAAUUAUUUUCUACUUUGAUUGCUACUACAUUAAUAAUCUUUACUUAUCUAUUCUCUCACAUGCUAGUAAUUGUAUUGGUUAUCGCUUUGAAGAGCAGCAAUGUCAAGGAAGAAGAUGAAAGUAAUCUCGGAGUUUAUGUAAGAAAUAAAUUAAGUACAAGUAUUUGCAAUUUUAUUUAG